GACGAACCGUGCGAACGUUAUUCGGAAUCAUUGGGCUUAAAGGGCGCGUAGGCGGCGGCGUAAGUUCGUGGUGAAAUCCCAUCGGCUCAACCGUGGAAUCGCUUCGAAUACUGCGUCGCUUGAGUGGGAUAGGGGACCGCAGAACUGCCGGUGGAGCGGUGAAAUGUGUUGAUAUCGGCGGGAAUGCCAGUGCCGAAAGGGGCGGUCUGGACCCUCACUGACGCUGAUGCGCGAAAGCUAGGGGAGCAAACGGG
rnacentral:rRNA from 1 species